AGUCGAGCGGUAACAGGGGAAGCUUGCUUCCCGCUGACGAGCGGCGGACGGGUGAGUAAUGCUUAGGAAUCUGCCCAGUAGUGGGGGAUAGCCCGGGGAAACCCGGAUUAAUACCGCAUACGUCCUACGGGAGAAAGCAGGGGAUCUUCGGACCUUGCGCUAUUGGAUGAGCCUAAGUCGGAUUAGCUAGUUGGUGGGGUAAAGGCCUACCAAGGCGACGAUCCGUAGCUGGUCUGAGAGGAUGAUCAGCCACAUCGGGACUGAGACACGGCCCGAACUCCUACGGGAGGCAGCAGUGGGGAAUAUUGGACAAUGGGGGCAACCCUGAUCCAGCCAUGCCGCGUGUGUGAAGAAGGCUUUCGGGUUGUAAAGCACUUUCAGUAAGGAGGAAAACCUUAUGGUUAAUACCCAUGAGGCUUGACGUUACCUACAGAAGAAGCACCGGCUAACUCCGUGCCAGCAGCCGCGGUAAUACGGAGGGUGCAAGCGUUAAUCGGAAUUACUGGGCGUAAAGCGCGCGUAGGUGGUUUGGUAAGCGAGAUGUGAAAGCCCCGGGCUUAACCUGGGAACGGCAUUUCGAACUGUCAGACUAGAGUGUGGUAGAGGGUAGUGUAAUUUCCUGUGUAGCGGUGAAAUGCGUAGAUAUAGGAAGGAACACCAGUGGCGAAGGCGGCUACCUGGGACCAACACUGACACUGAUGUGCGAAAGCGUGGGGAGC
rnacentral:rRNA from 2 species